UUGGGGUGCCGUUGGCCAUAGAGAGAAGAGAGAGAGAGAGAGAGAGAGAGAGAGAGGGAGAGUGGCAAGUUAGAGAGAGAAAGGGAGAGAAGGGGAUGCCAUUUUCUAGAGAGAAGGAGGAAAGAAAGAAUGAGAAGAAGGAGAAAGGAAAAGGGUUCCAAAGCUUUAGUGUUCGAAACCCCUAGGACUUUGAGCAAGGAGGUGGUUCUAGUUGGGCUCUUGAUUUUUUAUCAAGAGAGGUAGCAAAUAUGUUUCUCUAUGGCACGCGUGAUGAUGUGGGAAGUUCUGUCGUCCUAGUGUGUAUGGUGUGGGGGCAUCCUAUGGAUGAGAAACGAUCAAUUUUAAACGUCAUUUUCUUUUAAUAACGUUAUGUUUAAUGAGACUUUUUAAAUUUAUCAGUGAGACUUGAACUUUUGGUUUUUUUGAAAACUAAUAUUUUUUAAAAACUAUUGGGCCCAACUUGCAUGUUUUA